GCCGUAGGGCGCGAGCGUUGUCCGGAUUUAUUGGGCGUAAAGAGCUCGUAGGCGGCUUGUCGCGUCGAAUGUGAAAUCUCAGAGCUCAACUCUGACAUUGCAUUCGAUACGGGCAGGCUAGAGUUCGGUAGGGGAGACUGGAAUUCCUGGUGUAGCGGUGAAAUGCGCAGAUAUCAGGAGGAACACCGAUGGCGAAGGCGGCAUCCUGGACCGGCAUUGACGCUGAGGCGCGAAAGCCAGGGGAGCAAACGGG
rnacentral:rRNA from 1 species